rnacentral:lncRNA from 1 species
CAACCUUCACCCUUGUCUGAAACAAUAGUGUAAAUUCACAUCAAAGAAAGAUAAUUUGUAAUCAUUAAAAUCUUUGUCAUUUGUUCUAUAAAUAUUUGUUUCAUUGUCAAUCAUACAAUAACUCUUCAUAAUGCUUUUGAAUUUGAAAAUGUAUCAAUAGAAAUAAAGAAAUCUAAAGUAUCUUAGAUUUACAUUUGACAUGUAAUUUCCAAAUAACCUAUUAUUGUAUCUGAA